rnacentral:rRNA from 1 species
UUGGAGGGCAAGUCUGGUGCCAGCAGCCGCGGUAAUUCCAGCUCCAAUAGCGUAUAUUAAAGUUGUUGCAGUUAAAAAGCUCGUAGUUGAAUUUCGGGAUCUGUCCAUUGGUCGGGCUUCACGGUCCGUACUGGUGUGAUGGGUUCCUACCUUCUGAAUAACCAGCAUGCCAUUUAGUUGGUGCGCCGGGGAAGCAGAGCUAUUACCUUGAAAAAAUUAGAGUGCUUAAAGCAGGCUAGUGCUUGAAUAGAUUAGCAUGGAAUAAUAAAAUAGGACGGCAUGGUUCUAUUUUGUCGGUUUCUAGGAUCACCGUAAUGAUUAAUAGGGAUAGUUGGGGGCAUUAGUAUUCAAUUGUCAGAGGUGAAAUUCUUGGAUUUAUUGAAGACUAACUUCUGCGAAAGCAUUUGCCAAGGAUGUUUUCAUUAAUCAAGAACGAAAGUUAGGGGAUCGAAGACGAUCAGAUACCGUCGUAGUCUUAACCAUAAACUAUGCCGACUAGGGAUCGGACGAUGUUAAUUUUUUAAUGACUCGUUCGGCGCCUUACGGGAAAC